AAUCAACUAGUUUUCCAUUGCACCUUUGCCAAAUCAACCUAGUUUUCCAUGACACCCUUGUCAAAUCAACCUAGUUUUCCAUGACACCCUUGUCAAAUCAACCUAGUUUUCCAUGACACCCUUGUCAAAUCAACCUAUUUUUCAUAGCUUCUUCAUCAAAUUGAAUACCCCAUCAACUAUUUUUCCAUUGAACCUUUGUCAAAUUGGUCAAAUAGCCCAUUUCAACUCCCUGCCUGGACUCGGGGAAACGGGGGUUGUUAUGAUUAUGUAAUUUUAAAGUUUAGUAAUAUGCCAGUUAUAUAUAAUAAUUAAUUAGAUACUGGUUCAUAUUUUUCUAGUGAGGUAACUGAUUUUUUGCAGUUACAAGUGCGUGAAGUAUAUUGACCACUUAACAAGAACAAUAACUUAGUGUGGCUGCCAGUAUUUCUUCAGCCCUGUAACGUCCCUCCUGCUUAGUGAAUUAUUUUUGCACCUUGGCACCAGUAUUUGUAGGCUAGGAAUGGCUCUGCACUGCUGUUGGGUUUCCUCUGUAGCACAUUGUAAGGCAGUUGUUGUUUGGACUUGGGAGACAUUCUGAUUCUUAAGAGGAAAAUAUGAUAAAAAGGGGAAAAGAAUCCAUUUUUUAUAUAGUUUCUUAGUUUUGGACAAAAAAUGUAUUAUUUGUCAAACACAAGAGUGGAUUUUUUCUUAAAAGUUAAUUUGCCAUGUAUCCAUAUAUUCUUUGAUUUCCGUUCUCUGAUGCAAGUGUUGCAGGUGGCCAUUAAAUUUUUUUAAGUUUG